ensembl:lncRNA
CGUCCCUCACAGAGGAGCAGAUGAAGAAGAGCAACAUCCUCAUGGUUGCAAAGGUUGAGAAGGAACACUCCUCCCCUGCAGCACAGCCUGCCAGAUCUCAUGAAUCAGAAAAUCCUAAAGAUCGCCGCCGAAGACUGGUCAGACAGUAUAGCUUUAACCAUAGUGAUGAAGAUGAUCUCCCAGAGGCCCUUGCAGCAAUCUCCUCACAGAGCAGCAUGGUGAAAUCUGGCUCCACCAGCUCACUGGAUAAACAGAUACAACCACCCAUAUACCCACCGCAGAUGGAGAUGUGUGACUCUCCACUGUUCUACCAGACCUCCCUCCCACACCUACUGCCCUGUGUGCCAGCACACACUGAGAGGUGAGACACACAAACACACACACACAUGCAUGCUAACACACACUCGCACUAUCACACAAACACACACACACAUGCAUGCUCACACACACUCGCACUAUCACACAAAUACACACAUGCAUGCGCAUGCUCACAAACUCUGUGUCAUUAGCAUGCAUGGACAGACAAAAAAAUGACUCAAUGACUUCAACCUGACUCAACCUCUCUCUUGAUUGUAUGUAUGUGUUCUUGUGUGUCUACCUUUGUGUAUGUGUGUGCCGAUUUGUUUAUGUGUGUAUCUGUGUGUGUGUGUUUGUGUAUGUUAGUGUGCGUAGUAGUAGUAGUACGGAGGAUCUGAAAAUGGACAGAGAAAAACUGCUGAGGACUCUACUGAUGACCGAACUCUGAGACUUUUACAAACAUAUACACGUACACAUACACACACACACAGACACAUAUACACUGAUGCACAUAUUUAUAUUGGUAUGUUUUAAAAUGCUUUCAGAUUUCCUAAAGUCACUUAAAUAAUUGGGAAUUGAAAUACCACAGGACAGAGCCAAGUAUAAUGGGCAGGACGUGCAGAUGUUACCCAGAGAUUUCACAUGAGAUGCAGCCUGAUUUUGGCUCUUAGUUCAAUCUUACGUGACGUCUCUGGUAUUUAGUCGUUGGUCUUUAGUGUUAAGUCUUCAGUUUAUUUACAACUGUGUGUAUGAGAUGGAAAGCGAAAGCUUGUGAGGGUGACUGUGUGAGAGAAAGAGACAUGAAUUUCUGUUCAUGUCUGUGAAGGAGAGAAUGCUUGUAAAUCAGUGAGACAGAGAGAGAUAGAGAGAGAAAGAGAGAGAAAGAGAGAGAAAAAGAGAUGGUAAAAGACAACACACCCCAUCCAUCAGCAUGCAGACUGGUGGAGUGAUAUCUUUGUUGUGUUGUUUUGGACACAGUUGCCAAGCAACGUCCAAGAAAUCCAUCCAAUUUUUAUCCUCACCAAUCUGUUCUUUUAGUCUCAAUAACCAGACAUGAAGAAACAGUCUGACAGAUCUGCGGGCUGUACGGACUGCACUUUUUACUUGCGGGUGCCUACCUGUUUCCAUUUUACUGAUAUGAACCAUUUAAGGACUACAUGAGUGCUAUAUCAUACCGUCAUAAAAAAAGCUAAAUUGCCAGUGCUGGCAAAACAUUUCACAUUAAUUUAAUUGCUUUGAAAGCUUAUGGUUGAAAUAAGCCUUUUUGCAAUAUGGCCCUGAAAUCCUGAUGGGACCAUUGCGAUUACUAGCAGUGUCAAAUGCUAAUGCAGCUCUGAUUAUGCGGAGAGUAUGAGGGUUUAUACUGUUCUCAUGUGGCUGGAACCUCUUAAUGGGGAGUGGAUCAAUGGCAUCAGCUCUCUGCCUCCUCCCUCUCCACUCUCUUUACAUAUUGAGGGGCAACCCAUUAGAUUGCUGUCAUUGCUGAAACUGUUUGAAAGUGGUGUGUUGGUGCAUGUGAGAGAGAGAGCGAGAGGGUGUGUGUGUGAGGAUGUGUGCUGAGAUUGUAUUGGUGCAUUUUGGUAAGACUCAUAGGUUAGGUUAUACAUCAGGAUGAAGAGCUUUUGUGUGCUCAGUAGAGAGAGAGAGAGAGGGGUAAGCCUUGUAAAUGACGCUUCAUGACAAGAGUUUUUAAUCGUGCGUUACUGACAUGAGCAAUUACAGAGAAAUGGACAAAAAAAAACUCCUCCCCAAAAUGUUAGCACAGUGACAUUUCAGUUUAAUGGCAUUUUAUCUUAACAAGGUUUGAACUUACUGACACGGAUUCAUCCAACGCAGGCAUGGCAACUGACCAGAGGAGGGCGCCAGACACCACCAGUAUAGAACUCCCACCUGAAAGUCUAAAUUCUUAAACCUCCUUCAUUCUUGCAGAUGUGAAGCUGUAAAUCGGUUCUUUUACACUGAAAUGUUUGUAAAUAGUUUAUGUAUGUAUGACAGACGUAUGUAAACAGAUCGCUCUGAGUGCAAACAGUAGUCUGAAUUCCUGUUCACAGAGCUGCCCUUAGCAGGCAGCCAAGCCUGUAUUUCUGUCUCCUUGUGGACAUUUUUCUUAUGCAUCAUUGAUAUUUCACAUCUUGUAAAUAAAUUCAAGUGACUUUAAA